GACAGGACGGAGCAUCGGAGGCCCUAUCUUGGAAUCAUGCCAUCUUCCAGCUCUGGGUGAUUCGACAGACACAACUAAGGGCAGAUAUUCUGGAAGGGACAUAAGACUGGCCAUUUCCAAGGAAAAUGCCUUCUCUGAACAUAGAGGAGAAAUGUGCCUCUCGCUACCAAAGCCCACAGAAAAAAAGGGAGAGAAGAGAGAGGAAUAGGAUGGAAGAAGAGAGAGAAAAUACAACUAACAUUUUUUGAAUGAUAUACAAAAUGCAUAGUAAAUUCACUUAAUUAUCUUAUUUCAUAUUUAUUUUAACUGAAUGUGGCAUUUAUCUGCACCAUUUUCAGAUAUCAAAGUAAGUUUAAGGGAUGUUGAAUGAUUUACCCACUUAUACAAACACUAAUGCAUACCAUACUAAUUAAUGUGAAUCCAAGAUGUGCUCAGGAAAGGAUCCUAGCUAUAAUGAUGUGGAAUUAUUAGACAAUAUUACUCAUCUCUCAGAAGAGUACUUGGAUUAUCUAUAGAUAAUGGCAUGCCAGAAACUAUGAAGAAUUAGAGUUUUAGGCAACCACUGGUGGCUCAAAAAUUUUUGAUAAUGAUUUUGUUUGCAGCUCCGAGUUCCAUUUGAAUGUAAAGAGAAGGGUCACAGAUUAAAUAAAAUCAAUAAGCUACAGUUUAAAAGAGAAUUAUUGGUCAUAUCUAAGAUGGCGGCAUAGAGAGGAGUGGAAGCCAAGUAGUUCCCCUGGAACAACUAAAAAAACCAGAAACUACUAGUAAAUAAGCCGGAAUAACUGCGGGGGGAACAAAUGUGGCUCUCUA